rnacentral:rRNA from 1 species
GACGAACGCUGGCGGCGUGCCUAAUACAUGCAAGUCGAGCGCAGGAAAUCGACGGAACCCUUCGGGGGGAAGUCGACGGAAUGAGCGGCGGACGGGUGAGUAACACGUAAAGAACCUGCCCUCAGGUCUGGGAUAACCACGAGAAAUCGGGGCUAAUACCGGAUGGGUCAUCGGACCGCAUGGUCCGAGGAUGAAAGGCGCUUCGGCGUCGCCUGGGGAUGGCUUUGCGGUGCAUUAGCUAGUUGGUGGGGUAAUGGCCCACCAAGGCGACGAUGCAUAGCCGACCUGGGAGGGUGAUCGGCCACACUGGGACUGAGACACGGCCCAGACUCCUACGGGAGGCAGCAGUAGGGAAUCUUCCACAAUGGACGAAAGUCUGAUGGAGCAACGCCGCGUGAACGAUGAAGGCCUUCGGGUCGUAAAGUUCUGUUGUAAGGGAAGAACAAGUGCCGCAGGCAAUGGCGGCACCUUGACGGUACCUUGCGAGAAAGCCACGGCUAACUACGUGCCAGCAGCCGCCGCAG